CCCCUGAACCCAGGCCUGGCUGGUGCGUUUGCUCAGUUUCUUCCCACAUCUCUUCAAACCCACAUCUGGCAGAGUUUAGCUCUUCUUUGAAGGUGGACAGUCUGACUGGCCAUUUGACUGAAAUCAGAGAGGCCUGUGUCAGUGCUCGCCUUGGCCUCAGAACAGCUCCAGAAAGCACUCACAAGGGGGAUUUACAAACACAGGAACUCUCACUUAGCAGAUUACACGAGAUCUGCCUUCCCUGCUGGAAGGAGUAAGAUAUCAAGAAGGGGAUUAGGCAUCCACAUCACAGCUGGCUGUUUCACUGAUUAUCUCUGCAUGUAAGCUAAGUUUCUUCUUUUAUUCUCAU
ensembl:lncRNA